rnacentral:rRNA from 1 species
UACGUAGGUGGCAAGCGUUGUCCGGAAUUAUUGGGCGUAAAGCGCGCGCAGGUGGCUAUGUAAGUCUGAUGUUAAAGCCCGGGGCUCAACCCCGGUCCGCAUUGGAAACUGUGUAGCUUGAGUGCAGGAGAGGAAAGUGGUAUUCCACGUGUAGCGGUGAAAUGCGUAGAGAUGUGGAGGAACACCAGUGGCGAAGGCGACUUUCUGGCCUGUAACUGACACUGAGGCGCGAAAGCGUGGGGAGCAAACAGG